rnacentral:rRNA from 1 species
UACGAAGGGGGCUAGCGUUGCUCGGAAUGACUGGGCGUAAAGGGCGCGUAGGCGGUUCGUACAGUCAGACGUGAAAUUCCCGGGCUCAACCUGGGGGCUGCGUUUGAUACGUGCGGGCUUGAGUUCGGAAGAGGGUCGUGGAAUUCCCAGUGUAGAGGUGAAAUUCGUAGAUAUUGGGAAGAACACCGGUGGCGAAGGCGGCGACCUGGUCCGAUACUGACGCUGAGGCGCGAAAGCGUGGGGAGCGAACCGG